rnacentral:rRNA from 1 species
CCUACGGGUGGCAGCAGUGAGGAAUAUUGGUCAAUGGGCGCGAGCCUGAACCAGCCAAGUCGCGUGAGGGAAGACGGUCCUAUGGAUUGUAAACUUCUUUUGUCGGGGAGCAAAAGACGCCACGCGUGGCGUUCCGAGAGUACCCGAAGAAAAAGCAUCGGCUAACACCGUGCCAGCAGCCGCGGUAAUACGGAGGAUGCGAGCGUUAUCCGGAUUUAUUGGGUUAAAAGGGUGCGCAGGCGGAAGAUCAAGUCAGCGGUAAAAUUGAGAGGCUCAACCUCUUAGAGCCGUUGAAACUGGUUGUCUUGAGUGAGUGAGAGGUAUGCGGAAUGCGUGGUGUAGCGGUGAAAUGCAUAGAUAUCACGCAGAACUCCGAUUGCGAAGGCAGCAUACCGGCGCUCAACUGACGCUCAUGCACGAAAGUGUGGGUAUCGAACAGGAUUAGAUACCCGUGUAGUC